GCCCUCAUAGCUCAGCUGGUAGAGCACACCCUUGGUAAGGGUGAGGUCACGAGUUCAAGUCUCGUUGAGGGCUCAA
rnacentral:tRNA from 1 species